UACGUAGGCAGCGAGCGUUGUUCGGAGUUACUGGGCGUAAAGGGUGUGUAGGCGGUGGCUUAAGUUUGGUGUGAAAUCUCCCGGCUCAACUGGGAGGGUGCGCCGAAUACUGAGUCGCUCGAGUGCGGGAGAGGAGAGUGGAAUUCCUGGUGUAGCGGUGAAAUGCGUAGAUAUCAGGAGGAACACCGGUGGUGUAGGCGGCUCUCUGGACCGUAACUGACGCUGAGACACGAAAGCGUGGGUAGCAAAC
rnacentral:rRNA from 1 species